ensembl:lncRNA
CAAAUGUGUUUUGUAACUGUUAUUCAUCAUUACACCAGCUUAUAGAUCAAAAUUGGAUAUCGACUGAACCAAUAUCUUAUCCAUGAAAUACCAGUAUUGAAUCGGUGCAUCCAUAUUUGAAAUAAUUAUGUCUAACAUUUAGCAUUAUAUAAAAUAAAAAUAUAACCUUACAUCUUAUUUGAAAAAGAAAAUAAUUUUAAAGCAUUUUCUAUAUAUUUUGAAGUUAAAGCACUCUUUUGUCUCUGUUCACUUCAUGUACUGCUAUGCUCUCUGCUGCUAUCUAGAGGCAAAGCCACACUCUUGCAAAUGAAACACAACAUCGUUCUUGCUUAUCCCAUACCAAAUGUGACAUCCUCUCUUGAUCUUGAUUUUACCAUACAUUAUGCUAUACCUACCAGUCCAAGGUCAUUCUAAGCACAUGACCACAUUUUAUAAGGGUUCCAUGAAAUUGGAGUGAGAAAGCAUUUCAGUUUAAACUUCUGUCUAUACAAUAUUACACUGGUCAACACAAAAUUUAUUGUCUAAGAUUUUUUAGCUGAUUUAGGAUAAUUUUGAUGUGCUGAAUCCAAAAAUCACAUUGGUUUUGCUCAAUCAGGUCAACGUUCUGGACUAAGCUACAUAUUUGUUUUUGGACAAUUUUGUUUACAUGAGUACACGAGUAUUUUCACGUCAUAUGAUGCAAAAUUCUGGUAUAUUUCUCGCUAUAAACAAAUUCUGAAGAUUUUGCAUGUGUCAACUUAUGACUAAUUUUUUAAAAAUAUAUUACAAGUGAAUGAAAUGGCUUCGACUAGAAGAUCUUGCAAAAAUAAGCCUGACAUAUUCUGCUACAUCUGCGGUGAAUACACCAAUGUUCCUAACAGGAAUCAAGUCACAAGUUUCAUAAAGCGUGCUUGCCAUGCUUAUUUUGGUAUUAAACUUGGUGACCAAGAUGAAGCUUGGGCGCCAUACAUGGCAUGCAAGUCAUGCACCGAGUAUCUGCGUCAGUGGACUAAAGGCAAGAAGAGUUGUCUGAAGUUUGGAAUUCCCAUGGUUUGGAGGGAGCCGACAUCAAUAGCUACUUCUGAGCUAUUGAUGUGACUGGGAUCAACAGAAAGAACCGAAGCAGCCUCAAGUAUCCUGACUGUGAAUCAGCACAUCGUCCUGUAGCUCACUGUGAUGAAAUUCCAGUACCUGUCUUUGUAGAAGUUCCUGACAUCAGUGACAAAGAUUCCUCCAGUGUGGUUUUAAUGAUGAUGCUCCACAUCUUUUUUCCCAAAAGGAGCUAAAUGUUCAGGUUUCCUGAGAAUUUGGGAUCACUGAGUGAUGAGCAGGUGGAGAGAUUCCAUCAGGACAUAAAAGAGAUGGAGACCAGGUAUCAGGGACGCUGGGAUGCAGUCAUGAUGGCUGAUUACUGUUGGAUUCUCAAGAGAGACAUCCCUGCUGCUGAGCAUUCAAGGGGUUCGUAAAAACAGAAGUUCAUGUCCUGAAUUUUGCACAAUGAUAAUGUAACGUUCCAAUUUACAUGUACUUACCUUUAUAAAUUAACAUAACGUAACAUUUAAUUAAUACAUUCUGUUAGAAAACUAUUUUUUAUCUCCUAAAAC